rnacentral:piRNA from 1 species
UGUGAGUUCAUAUAUGCUUCAGCACGAC